rfam:Leeuwenhoekiella marinoflava DSM 3653 genome assembly, contig: EJ63DRAFT_scaffold00007.7
AAACAGGACUUCUUAAAGUCCAUCAAAAAAACAACGGACGAUGUGU